UACGUAGGGACCAAGCGUUGUUCGGAUUUACUGGGCGUAAAGGGCGCGUAGGCGGCGUGGUAAGUCACUUGUGAAAUCUCUGAGCUUAACUCAGAACGGCCAAGUGAUACCGCUGUGCUAGAGUGCAGAAGGGGCAAUCGGAAUUCUUGGUGUAGCGGUGAAAUGCGUAGAUAUCAAGAGGAACACCGGUGGCGAAGGCGGCUUUCUGGACAGAUACCGACGCUGAGGCACGAAAGCUAGGGGAGCAAACAGG
rnacentral:rRNA from 1 species